UUUUUGCAUGGCGAACCGUCACCGGAUGGUGUGCCUGUUAAACAAUCGUUUGACUAGCCUGCAAAAACGUC
rnacentral:ncRNA from 1 species